GGCUAACGCUGGCGGCGUGUCUUAGCCAUGCAAGUCGAGCGGACUUAUGGGGUAACUUAUAAGUCAGCGGCGGACGGCGGAGUAACACGUAGCUAACCUACCCUCUGGACGGGGAUAACCUACCGAAAGGUGGGCUAAUACCCGAUGUAGUCAUCCUGUAUAGGGGUGAUGAAAGGUGGGCUUCUGUUUACAAGCUCAUGCUGGAGGAGGGGGCUGCGGCCUAUCAGGUAGUUGGUAGGGUAAUAGCCUACCAAGCCGAUGACGGGUAGCCGGCCUGAGAGGGUGACCGGCCCGAGGGGCACUGAGAUACGGGUCCCACUCCUACGGGAGGCAGCAGGCUAGAAAUUUGGGCAAUGGGGGAAACCCUGACCCAGUGACGCCGCGUGCAGGAAGGAGCCCUUCGGGGUGUAAACUGCUGUCGUGUAGGGAGAAGGGUACUAAGGUGAACAAUCUUAGUACUUGACGGUACUACAGGAGGAAGCCCAGGCUAACCUCGUGCCAGCAGCCUCGGUAAAUAGCGUACU
rnacentral:rRNA from 1 species